GCCUGGGUGGUUCAGUCAGUUGAGCAUCUGACUUCAGCUCAGGUCAUGAUCUUGUGGUCCGUAGGUUCGAGCCCCACGUCGGGCU
rnacentral:tRNA from 1 species